rnacentral:lncRNA from 1 species
UUUGUCAUUUAUUACCACCUCUGUCAUUGCUCUGCAUCCAUAUAUUUCUAUUGCUAUGAGUCGCACCAGAGUUUUUGCUGUGGAGGAUGUUACCAAGUGUAUCAAUUCCUUGCAACCGAAAGCUACAAGUUUUGUUAGGUUCCCAAAAGAUACCGAUGAUGAUGGCAAUAGAAUUAACAGACUUUGACAAUGAUAUACUUUUAGAAUUUCAAGAUACUGAAAAAUGGGGCCAAGUUUGGAGUCUUGCUUGCACAGCUGCUCCAGAUGAUAGUGCCAGCGCAGCUGUAAUUCUUUUAUCAUUGCCAACUUCCCCACAUGUUUCUCUAAGCAUCCUUCCAUCGAAAAUACCUCUUCGUGGGAUGAAAAAAACAACAGUGUGAGUAUUUCGAGAUUGUGAAAUCUCUCCAGUACGUUCCAGAUUGUAAAACCAGCUGAGUCAUCUGCAGCAAUCUCUAGUUCUCUAAGACUGCCAAAAAGGUGUUGUGGGAAAUCGGCCUGCAAAAUCAUCUUCACAUCUUUUCCACUUAGUGAUAGUUCCUUCAAGUUGGGUACGAUCUGAUCAUCAUCAAUCAUAAUAACUAAUGAGGUCAAUUGAUGAUCUACGGUCACACGCAGUGACUUUAUAGUAUUUGUUUUAUAUUAUAUUUUUAAAAAAAAUUGAAUUAUUGAUAAAAUUUAUUUUAUAUGUUAAUUUUAGAGGUAAAAAAGAAAUUAGGGAAAAAAGGUUGAUUUAUACUGGCUUGAAAUUAUUUUAUUGCACAAUAAUAAAUUACUAAUUUAUUUUGUAAGUUCUUCUAUAUGGAAAGACUAAGGAUUCUUUUAUAAAUGCUAUACCUUAAAAAGUUCAUAUAAUUAUUAAUCUACCACAUUGAUCUCUUAAUCUAGACUAGCAAAGAUUAUUGUAUAAUAAAAGUUUUCAAUUUAUUGAGUGUUAAUUUAUCGAUGCUUUGUCAUUUUUUUCGAAGUUAAAAAUACGCUAUUGAUAAAAAAUCUAGAAAAUGGCUUCGUACCUUUUCCAACGGCAAUAGGGGCUGUUGUGCAGGAAUACCAAGUUGAUCAUUCUCAUUAUUCUGCGAUAAAUCUGCAUCGAAUAUCUUUAAUUUGUCACAACGACCCACUAAAAGAAUUUCUAGUGCGGGCCAUUCCGAAGUAUGCAUUCCAGGGUACAAACAUCUAAGUUUUGGUAGACAUUCGAGUCUUAGAGUGGUGAGCUGUGGAAAGACAAAAUAAGGGAUAACUUCAUCUGCUCUGUUUUCAGAAAUGAUCUCCUCUAAAUCCUCACAGAAGCGUAUAUCUAGGUGUCGGAGCUGCUUAAGGCUUCCGAUCAUAGACGCUGAAAAUAUGUAUUUUAAUUUGUGACAACCCCACACAAUCAAUCGUGUUAAACUUUGAAAGUGAGGAAGCACGGCCGCUGGAAUUUGAUUGUAGUGCCAAAUCUUGUCGACAUUAAUUGCAGAUAUCUCCAAAGCCUCCAAGUUAGGCAACGCAACCUAAAAAAAGAAGAAUUUCUCGUUAGAUCCAAUAUCCAUAUGGGAAGCACUUGUUGAAAUUUUCUUCUUUGAUUACAAAUUAAUGCAAGUCUGAAUCAAUUUCCAACUGACAGCUGAGUAUGCAUUCUAAUUCAUACUACUUGUUAAGAGCUCAAUUAGUGAGCGCGUGAGAUUCUUUUUAUCCUUUUUUCCAUUUUCUUUCAAUUCUUUAAAUGAUUUAAUUAUUUUCCACGUAUGACAUCAAAACAGAACGCAUGAUAGAAUAAAGAAAAUGUUAGCCUACGCACCUUCUCGUUGAAAAGCAGAGUUGAAGUAUCCAAAGUGAUUUCGCUGGAGCUAUACGUAGUCGUCGAUUCCUCCUGCGACGCUGGUCUGUUUGGUGAUGCUGAAGGAGUCUUCACGUCACGGCAAAAACUUGUAAACUCUGGAAGAUUCCCCAGACUCAAAGAUCUUAAUUGAGCAAACUCUAUCUUCUCAAUUGCAUUAUCAACUUCAUCCCCAAUUGAAAAAAUUUCUUUCAUCUUGCUGCAAUUAAUAACUGCAAUUCUCUCAAGUCUUGGAAGGCAUUUUGUUGUAGAGAGCCAAAAGAUAUUACUCAAUUUAUCACAAUUAUAUGCUUGUAUGAUUUUGAGUUCGUUGAAGGACUCUACUUUGAGCCGAUCAAUACAUAUCCUCUCCAUGUUGAUCAAAUUGUGAAGGCCAAGUGACUCCAAAAGAGGAAAGGCAUCACAAGCGACCAUCGCCCUUGAAUCGACGAUACAAAAGAUGUCAGGAUUAUUUUGAACCCAGAGAAGCUUCAAUUGUGAAAAGCCCUCUGUGUCCAAAUUGAAAAGAACAUUCUCGAUGCCUUGCAGCUUGUCCAACCAUAAGCAUUCUACGUUAUUGAUGCCCUGCAAUUUCAUGGAGCAAAUGUCCAUAAAAGCAAGCUUGAGCUUCAAUGCUCUUAAACUCUUGCGAUCACUUUUGCGAGAAAAGCGCCGCAGACUUUGGAACCAAUUUUGUUCAGCAAUCAUGGGAUGUGUGAAUAACCCAUUUCCAAUAGAUAUUUUGAACCUUUCGAGCUUUCUGGCCAAAAAACCUUCUGGUAACAUACUGUCAUUUUUAACAUCAAUUUCUAGAGUGGUUAGCCGAGGUAAAUGCAUCAAUUCAUCAAGGCUAGCAUUACUUCUUUUGCUGUUGGCUCUUUCAACCUCCCAUUCAAUGGAGCAAUUACCCAUAUACAGCUCUUCUAAUCGGAUUAAGCUUGAUAUGACAUUUGGGGCAAUAACUUUCAGACGGAAACAAUUGGUUAAAUCUAACAAUCUCAACUUAUUCAAUUGACCUAGUUCUUCUGGCAACUGCGUUAUAUCAGACUUCAAAAAGCUAAGGACUUCUAGAUUCUUCAACUUCCCAAUGAUUGCUAUGUCGCCCAACGCACUUUUAUCCAGACAUAGUGUGUGAAGAUUUACUAGAAGAUCAAUUGAAGAUGGAAAAGAAGAAAACUGCAUUCGAGUAAAAUCUAGAAUUCUAAGCUUUUUCAUCCCUACAAAAAAGUUCUCAGGAAUAUUGAUUUCAAGAGAAAAAUCUUUGAGAGAGAUAUAUAAAAAUUCAAGGUUUGGGCAUUCUAAUCCUUCAGGAAAUUCACGAUUACUAUUUUUUAUUAAAGAGAUAGCUUUGCAAUUUCGAAGUGCAUCCUUAUCUGGCCAGUCCCACACAUCCUCAUUCCUCACCGAAAACACAUGUUGCUGGCGGCAUGCAAUUGAUAUCGCGACAUCGCGAACAACAUCAUGCAUUGACAAUUGUUCAUUGCUCUCACCCUCAAGCAACAAACAAGAGUCUCUAAGUUCAUGGACCAAUGCAUAUAAUUUGUCUCGUGCAUCUUCCAUCUUAUUGACUCCUUUAAAUAUACCCAAACCCAUGGAGUACUUAAACAAGUCGAAAGUAAAAAUACGGUUACCCAUUAGACUGCAGAGCUGAAAAAUUUCCUUGCGUUCACCUUUUAAUUGGUUGAAACUCAGCUCAAUACUUGCAUAAGUCUCUGCAGAUACUCCUUCGAAGUUUACCAUUGAAGGCGUUCGGAGUUCUCGCAAGGAAUUCUUCCAUUCAUGCAGACUCUUGCCUCUCAGUGCCUUUGCUACUGUAGUCAAGGCAAUGGGCAAACCUCCACAUGCCCUGGCGACGUCUAUUGCUGUAGAUUUCAACUCACGAUUUUCAACAUCAUCACCGGCCAUCAUCUUAAACAAUCUCCAGGCUUCUUCUUCAUUUAAAUUGUUUAUCAAAAAGUUGUCUUUAGAACCCAUUUUUAAGAGGACACUACGAUCUCUUGCUGUCAGCAGUAGUUUGCAUCCUUUAUGAUCUUCUGCAAAAGGAAUUCCAACAGUCUCCAAAUUAAGGUGUUUCCAGAUGUUAUCUAAAACCACAAGGAUCUUCUUCUCAUUUCUCAAUCGCUCAAAUAGUCUACUUGCUCUUCCAGAUUCAACUUCCUCGCGCAACUCCAGGCCCAACUUCUCGGCAAUUUCCUGUUGAAUCUUUUUUAUGUCUGGAGUUUGCGAAACCUCUGAAAAGACCACCAUAUCAAAGAGCUUGGCUUCCAUAGCUUGCCUGGAGACCUCCUUCACCAGUGUCGUCUUUCCAAUGCCGCCCAUGCCGUACACCCCAAUGAUGCUAACAUCGAUCAAUGCUUUUUUUAUAGCCUCCAAAGUAGAACGUCUUGAUUCGAAGGCCUCGUAGCCUAUGUGAGACUUGAGCCAAAUCUCCUCCGGAAUGGUACGGUGGGAAACAAUAUCAAACUUCUUUACUUCUUCUCCAAGUUCAACAAGGGCCUUCAUUUCUGUCUCUGCUUUCUUGCUAAGCUGAUAGCGGGUCUUCAAAUUAGGACACAAGCCCUUGAGACAACGCUUAUUCGUUGACUCCUCAUUUUCAAUGAAUUUGGCUGCCCUGUCAAUGAUGUCGUUCGCACUAACCAGCCACUUUUCAACCUUCUCUUCAAUCUUUUCUCCUUUUCUUUCAGCCUCAGAAACUCUGUGCUGAAUGCUCCUACUUUCAUCCUUGAGUUCAUCAAAUUUUGCCCUGAGAUUCUCAAAGUUGGUUUUAUAGUUACGUAAAUAACCAAGUUGGCGUUCUGCUAGAGGAGCCAAGCAUUUCACAACUUCCAAAACAACAGUAAUAAUGGUUUCCACCAUCUUUGAUCCUUCUAUUUUUUUUUUUUUUUUGAGUUCUGAAAAGCAAAUAAACAAGAGCCAACCACAGAAGAGAAAAAAGAAGAAACAACAAAGAUGGACAGUUUAUCUGGUUGUGGAAGCGGAGAAAUGAAAGAAAGCGUAACAACUGAUUGAAUAAAUAUAAGGAGGGAUUUAGAUAAUAAAGGAGAAAGGAACCAAUCAAAAUAACUUAAGUAUAGACCAAAAGAAAGAUGAAAAAUAUAUUAUAGACCACAACCGAAUGAACAAAAGAAGAUGUCUUGACACAGCAGAAGUGCAGAGAGUAGAUAUGGAACAAAACAGAGACAACAGCAGGACACAACUAAAUUGGGAGCGGAGAGAAACUAAUCAACAAGGACUGAGAGAUUACAACAAAACAGAUGCCAAGAGAAAAGGGUUUCCUGAUCCUGUGAAGCUCAAGAGAGUUAACGGCAAUAGGGAGCAAACAUUAAUAACAAAACAACAGUGACUACAACGAACGAACGCAUAUGUUUUUCUUGAUUGAGAAUAAGUUCAAAGAAUGACUUUUUAAUGAGGUGCUGAAGCUGAAGAAUAACGAUUUGCUAAAAUUUUAAGAAUGCUAUAUAUUCUGUAAAUUCAACAAGUGAAGAAUAAAGAAUAAUGGUUUGUCAUCUUCACGAUGAAGAUCAUGGGCGAGAUUAAAAGCAAAAGUGAAGAAUAAAGAAUAAUGGUUUGUCAUCUUCAUGAUGAAGAUCAUGGGCGAGAUUAAAAGCAAAAGUGACCUAUUUGAAAAGCCAAAGUUCAAGUUCCUUUGCUAAGCUUAGAAGUGAAGCAAAGAAUAAAUAAAUAAAUGAGUAAUGAUCAAGGGAUCGGAAUGAAGUGUUAGAGUACAAUUUAUGCACUAGUUUUGCAUUAUUUACUUCUUUUAAUAUCGAUGUUUUGCACUUAAUAAUAGUGAUUUACUUGUGUUUUAUUUUGGUAGGUGCAAUUUUAUUGAUUGGUGCUAAAAUUGAGCUACAAGAUGAUGUUUGAGGAUGAUUGUUUUCUUGAAGAAAUUAUGAGCUUCAGAAGAACUUUGUUGAUAAGGUGUGGGCGCAUGCUGUCAACUACGGACCUGCAGUUUUUAGUUUAACGUGUUUUGUAUUUUUAGUUAUUUUUGUAAUUACGCAUUUAAUAUUUAGAUAAUAUUUUAGAAAUUAGUAUUUUAUUUUAAAAAGAACUCUAGAGGAGAAGAGAGAGAAGAGAAUUUAAGGGAGGAAUCUAUUGUCAAAGACGGGAGAUUUUUGAAGAGAAAGAAACCCUAGAUCUAAAUUUUUCUCUCCUGUCUAUGAAGAACUAAAUCUAUUAUUCUGGUUGAAGGUUAAUGAACUUUGAUUCAUCACUGCUGUGAGAUCUUUCUUAUACUUUAAUUAUUUUAUUACUUUUUGGGUAUUUGUUUAUUCUCUGAAUUAUUGUCAUGAUUAUGUUUGUUAAUUAGAUAAUUGGCUACUAUUUAAUUAUCAACUUAAUCUAUUGUCAAUUAAAAGAUUUAUCGUAUGAAGAUUUUAAUGUUUGUGACAAAUAGCAUAGCAGUGCAUUGUGUUAUGAGAAUAAACAAUCUAAUUUAAAUGAAUCAUCGUAUGCGUUUGUUGAUUAGGAUUUGGGUCUCUCUGAUUUUUCAGACUGUCAAUUGAUUAAAUCCUAUGAUCGUAUCUAGGGUUGUCUAUUGAUUAGGAAAAUAACCAACAAUCGUACCUUAAAACUAAUGUGGAUCGAGCAAUUGAACAGUUGCAAACUCAAUGGAAAUACAAUGGAACCUUAAAAACGAACAGUGAAGGAAAAUGAAGAAAUCUGCAGGAAAUAAGGCGAGUGAGAGUGAAGAAUUAAUUACCACCGAGUAAAUGCGAAUGAAGAAUGGAGACAGAUCGAGAAGUGAGAUUCAGAGAUUGUAUUCAAAUUGAGAGUUGAGAUCAAGAAGCGAUUAUUCUUCUCCGUAAUUUCCUUUUUCUUUUAAUGUUGUUAUUAUUAUUAUUAUUUAUUUUUUUUCAAUUUCAUGAUAUCUUUUUUGUUUUAAACGGUAUUGGCAUAUUACAUUUAUUUAUGUUAAUUUUACAAUACCUCCCUUCAGAUUGCACAAAUUACAUAAAAAAAAAAAGUGCUUUAUGUAUAAAACUUUCAAACAAAUUGGGCCAAAAUCUAACUUUACCAAGUUUAAAGUAAUUUUGGGCUCGACAUUCCAUUUCCGACAAACGAAUUUUCUUUAUCACCGAGGUAUGAUACUUUUCAUAUUUAUCCAACGGCUCAUCAAUGACAAUACCUUUGUAAAAAGUACUUAUUUUCAAUAGUAUAUUGUGGAAAUGUCUGGUCGGUAAUACAACUAUUUCUUAUAGUGCAAAAAUGAUACACUAAUCGUUCACAUUUUGAUGGGUAAUUUAAGGAUUUCAAGAUGAAGUACAUAAUUAGAUUAAUGCUAAGAAACUGAAGUUUGAUCGAUUGAAAACGAAAAUAAUAAUGAAGGUAAUUAAGAAAAUGAACAAUAUAUGCAGAAGCGGUCCUUAUUAGGACUUCUAGAUUUUCUCUUGGGCUUUCCUUAUUAUUGUUAAAAAAUGACAGGAAGAACUUUGAGUUUAAAAAUCUGGCCCUGAUGCCUGGUAGCCCUCCAACAUAUGAAGCACUAGAUGUUUUGAUGAGAAAAUGACAAGACCAUUUAUCAAAUUUCUUGUGGAUAUAAAUACAUACACAUAGACGAGACCAACCUCCUCAAAUGAGAAUCAGAGUGAUUACAAGACCUUGCAAUGAGACAAUGAUACACCAUCAAAUGUCACAAUACAAUAGAAAUUCACGACAUAAAUAUAAUAAAAGACCUCUCAUUGAGUCAUAUAUAUAUUGAGAAUAAAAAUGUUAUAAUACAUACAAAGAGCUUAGCUAGAAUAAAAUGUCUUUGAACUUGCAAUGAUCAAACAAAGGAAACAGACAGGUUGUAACUCACACUAUCACAAGAAGAUCACGAAGAUGGAAAUGGGAACUGCUCAGAAUGGAAACUUUGAAUAGAAGAAAAAAGAAAAACGACCUUAUUCAUAGAAGAAGAGUGACUUAAAUCUUCAUCAGUAUCCAGAUAUUCUGCGAUCAUUGAGUAGAGAAAUUUUAACAGGAACAGCAGAGAAAAUAUUAUGAAUAUGCUAUAGACCAAUAUACUUGUUCAUAGCUAACGUUUGAUGGUUUAAGGAUUUGUUCUAGGAAUAAUGGGCUGAUUACUUUUUUUUUAUUUUAAUUUUUUUUAAUCCAAUGAAUGAUAUUCAGCUGUUAAUUAUGUGUUCAUAGGGAAGAACAUUUUCUAAGUACUUUCCUUGCCUUCUAACUUUCCGAAAAGCAAACCCAAUGAACAAACAGAGCACAAACUAAAAUAAAAGAACAGCAAUGAUGACAAUAAAUAAUUGGCAAGAAAAAAAAGGAAAAAGUAUGCAAGUUUUCAAGGAAUUAUAAAAUAUGAAGGCUUUUAAUGAAAUUUUAUCCUAAAAAGUAUGCAAGGAAUUAUAAAAUUUUAGAAAACAUGGGGAGCUCUAAAAAAAAAAGAAAAACUCAAAUUAAACUAGACUAAAAGACAUUCAAUUUUGCAAAAUCUGUCCAUAAAAGUCUGAAAGGAUCAUUAAAAUUGCAUUGCAAAUUUAACAGUAAACCGAGGGACCCAUUCUAAAUAAUUCAGAUGAAAUUGCGAAACAAGCCAUGGGAUUAAAUAAAUGAAAUAAAAAUUAAUUACCAGUUGAGACUUUCUUCUAAAAAUUCGCAACUCCAGGUCAUAAGAAGCCUAUGAAAUUAGUCGUACUACUGCGUAGAGUAUGACGACGACACCGCCAACAGCUUAAAAUAAAAUUCUUAUUCAUCAAAUAUCUUAUCUAUAUUGUAUUUAAGAAAGCAAAUUUUGUAAAAAUUUAUCAUGGGAGAUAGAGAGUAAUAUGUAUAUACGUACCUUCUCAGCAUGUAAUUGUUGUAUGGUUGUGUUUAGAUCAUUAUUAGCCCAGCGCCGUUGAUCCGCUGUCUCUCCAUAGCAGACGUUUACUCGGCGUGAUUGAUUCUCCUGUAGUGAAAAUCUUCAUCUUGGGACAACCAAUCACACAUAACUCUUGCAAAGAUGGGAAUUUGAUGGUGUAAUUGGUAGAGCAGAAACUUGUGAGGCUAUCUAAAUCACGCAGUUCCAACGUCUUCAAUUUACUGGUGAAGUAGGUCCAUAGCUAAAAUAAAAUUGGAAGAAAAUGAAGAGCAAGCACACAGAGGACACUAAAAAUUACGUGGUUCGACUUUUAACAUACGUCUAUGGGUAAAGACAAAAGGAUAAAACUUUAGUGGUGAAAUGAGGAUUACUAGUAUUAUAAUAUUUUGUUUCACUUCCCAGAACCCCAAUCCACUCAAUCUCUUAAAACACUAAUCACUCAAGAGCAUUAAAACUCUUAGUCUCUCACACUAGAAUUGAAGAAGAAAAGAAUGAAAUGCAGGGGUGAACCCCUCAUUUAUAGUUAAAAUUUUGGGCACUAUUUAUAUAUAUAUAUAUAUAUAUAUAUAUAUAUAUAUAUUAAAUUCAAAGUUUGAACUUGACAUUCAAACUUUGAAUAUCAAAAGGUAUUGGUCGCUCUUCUAGAAAAGCGACAUUGACUUUGAUAUUCUCCCACUUAGAAAUUUGAUUGAGAAUCAAUCAAUCUCCACACCAUCCUUUCUACUUCGCCGCUGUCAUGUUGUUUAUGUCUCUACUAGGCCGUAAAAUGAUCUACUCCAAACAAAUUUAUCAGCAUUGAUAGGCUUGGGCAAAACAUUUGUUAAGUUCUCCUUGGUAUCCACUCUUAUAUCUUUCACUACUUCACGAAGAAGUGAUAUUGUACUCCUAUAUUCUUUGUCCUAAAAUAAAAGGUUGGAUUCCUUGCAUUCUAACUAUCACAAGCCAUAAAAAAUUUUAUGCCCAAGCUCCUUCAGUAACCUUUGUAUCCAAAUAGCUCAUCCAAGCUUGUGUAGCUGCUAUGUAAUCUGCUUCUGUUGUUGAUAAAGCCACAAUGGUCUGCAAUUUUGAAAUCCAACUAACAAUUUCUCAUUCUGGUGCAAAUACUUAGCCAGUAGUGGAUUUCUUUUUAUUAAGAUUUUCUGCAAAAUCUGAAUGCACAUAGCCCUUGACAGUAUCCUUCGUAACAUAAUGCAACAUCUGAUGUUCCUAUGAUAUAUCUCAGAAUCCUCUUAAUAGUCUUCCAAUGUUCUUUGCAAGGAUUCGCUAUGUAUCGACUAACCUCUCCCACUACUUGUACAAAUCAUAGCGAACCUUAAAUUUUCCACUGCUGAUGCAUACAGUACUCAAGACAUCUCUUCUUCUCUACUUCAUUACUAGAUGAAUACUUAAGAAUAACUUGAAAUUAAUGGGAGGCGGGGUAGAAAGCCAAAUCUUUUUGCUAUUACUAUCUCGGUGAAUUUGCAUCCCUAAAAUCUUGUUUGCUGGUUCUAAGUCUUUUAUUUCAAACUCCCUAGUUAACUGUGCUUUAGUUCUUGGACUCGAUCUUUGUUGGGGCCUGCUACUAAUAUGUCAUCAACAUACCACAGUAGAAUGAUGAAAUUAUUAUUAUCAAACUUGUUGUAAUAUGUACAACAGUCUGAACUGAUUCUAUUGUAUCCAAGGUUUAUGAUGAAUGGAUCAAAUCUCUUAUAUCAACAUCUCGGUGCAUGUUUGAGAUCGUAUAGAGAUUUGUUUAACUUGCAAACCAAGUGUCCCUUUUUAGUAAAACCUUCUAGUUAGAGCAUAGAAAUCUUUUCUUCAAGUUCUCCAUAAAGAAAUGAAAUUUUCACAUCUAACUGCUCCAAAUAUAGGUCAAAUGUAGCACACAUCGACAAGACCACUCUGACUGUCCUGAGUCAAAUCACUGGAGAAAAUAUCUCAUUGAAGUUAAUACAUUCUUUCUAAGGAUAUUCUUCCAUCACCAAUCUUUCAUGAUACCGCUCCACUAGGUUAUUACCAUCACGUUUGAUCUUAUGGACCCAUUUCCAACCAAUGGGUCUUUUUUUUUUCAUAUAGUAGUAGUACGAGUUCCUAUGUCAUAUUCUUGUGUAGAGCCUUAAUUUCUUCCUGCAUUGCUAUCAUUCACAAAGUAACAUCUGAGCUGUUUAAGGUUUCAUGAAAAGUUGAUGGCUUUCCAUUCUCUAUUAAAAGACAGUAUGCAAAAUUGAUAUCUGUGACAUAAUCCAAAUGCCACACUGACAAUUAUCUAUCACGAGUUGACCAACAAACUUUUGGGGCCUCAGACUCGAUUGGUUCUUGUUCUCAUACUUUGGUGCUGUUUCAAAAAAAUCUAAAUCUUCAUUUUCCAAAUUAUUUUCAACAUAUAUUAGCACAAUCUCUGAAUUUUUAUAGUGCUAUCAUCCAUAUCUCUCUUUUGCAUUUGAUCUUCUACAAAGAUAAUAUCUCUACUGAUAACGAUCUUAUGGGCAUUGAGGUCCCACAGAUAAUACCCUUUCACUCCAUCAAUAUAUCCUAAGAAGAUACAUCUCUUGGAUUUUGGAUCCAUCUUUAAUCUCACUUGGGUAUUGUAUAUCACGUAAAAGGACAUCAAAAUGCCUAAGAUGAGAGUAAUCAACUGGCUUUCCUGUCUAUUUUUUCCAUUGGAAUUUUCAACCCGGUUGCAUUGAAUGAUGACCCACUUACCACAUAAUAAGUAGUUUUUGCUACUUCCACCUAGAAUGAGUUGGUAGACCAGCAUUUCUCAACAUAACUCUUUUUUUUUUUAUAAGAGUCAUGCCCUUUCACUCUACUACUCUAUUUUAUUGAGGAGUGUAUGCCACCGUGAACUAUCUCUAGAUACUUUCUUGCUUACAUAUGCAAGAAACAUGCUAUUUGUAUACUCUCCACCAUUGUCUGUCCUCAGGCACUUGAUCCCUUGCCCUGAUUUAAGUUCAAUCUACGCUUUGAAUUCUUUGAACAAUGGAAAUACAUUUGACCUUUUCUUGAUUGGAUACACCAAAUAUCUCCUAGAAUAAUCAUUAAUAAAAGUCACCAAGUACUUUGCACCUCCCAUAGAUAUAUCAAUUGAUUCCCAAACAUUAGAAUGAAUCAAGUCUAAAAUACAUUUACUUUUGAAAGUGGAUCUGCUAAACUUUCAUCUAUGUUGCUUCCUUGUUUUGACAUGUGGCCAAGUUUAAGAUGCCACAUCAUCACUGAAUUUUCUCUAUUUGAUGUGACUGACACAAAAGCUUUCUGUAGUGUUUCCCUUUAAGCAUGAAUAAAUUAUCACCGAUCUUUUCCACCUUCAUUAAUGCAAGUGCGCCUUUGACUAUCUUUAUGAUCCCAUUUUCUACAUGAGUUUUGCGCGCAAGACUAUCUAUUUGUCCUAAAGACAAGAGAUAUUUUUCAAGUCUUUGACAUGUCUUACCUUCUCAAUUGUGCGAACCAUACCAUUAAACAUAUUUAUUUUGACAGUACCAAUAUCAGUAAUCUCAAAGGCAUAAUCAUCACCUAUGUAUACAAAUUCUCUUGAAAUAGGUUCAUAUUUGUGAAAUCAUUCUCUUGGAGAGAUCAUGUGCCAGGCAACUAUUAAGUCUAUAAGCCAGAUGUCAUAUAGUGGUUUUCUAUCUUCUGAAGCAGUUGUUGCCUUACUGUAAAGAAUUUUGCCAUCAUACGAGGUACUUACUACAUACCCUUGAGCAUUUGAUGACUCAGAAUCUUUACCAUCUCUUCUCUUCUAGUUGUUCCAAAACUCUUCCUUGACAUGCCCUUUCUUGCAACAGUUGUUGCAUUUGACAUUCUUUUUACUUCUAGAUUUUGAUCUACCGUGACUGUGGCUCUCACUAGGGCCACGUUCCAUGGAUCUUCCUUUCAUCACCAAUAGCGCUUCUACUUGUUGCGAACUCUUUUGUCUAUCUUUUUUAUUUUUUGCUACUCUCCUCAUUUAAUACGGAGGCUGCCAUAUUGUCAAAGACUAACUUGUUUGCUCGAUUGUUAUUAGUUAUAUUAAUGACGAAUUGAUCAUACGAAUCUGGUAAACCUUGAAGUAAAAGCUCUAUAUGUUUAUUUUCCUCUAUUUUAUGACCCAACGUUGUAAGUUAUGAAAAUAAAGUCUUUAAAGUGUUGAUAUGGUCGAUCACUGAUGUAGAUUCCUCCAUUCGAAGAGUAUAAAGCCUCAUCUUUAAGAAGAUUUUAUUUUGUAGUGAUUUGACCUCGUAUAGUCUUGUGAGAGUAAACCAUAUUUCCUUUACUCUCUUUUACUCUACCAUAUUGAAAAAUACCCUAUCUGAAAGUGGUAAGUGUAGAUAUGCAAUGGCAUUAUUGUCUAUCUCAUUCCACUUGCCAUCAUUAGUUAUCUUUGUGAGCCUCUCUUCAAUUGCUGCCAAGCAAUUACUUUUCCUCAAUACAACCUUCAUCUUCAUUUUUCAUGACGAAAAAUUAUUUCUGUUGAACUUCUCAAUUUUGUAUUUUUCCGCCAUCACUUUUCACCACGAGCUACCUUGCUAAGAUCGAUCAAACUUUACUAGCGAAAUGAGGAUUAUAAGUAUUUUAGUAUUUUGUUUCACUUCUCAAAACCUUAAUACACCCAAUCUCUCUAAACAUUCUUAAUCCCUCAUUAUAGAACUAAAGAAGAAAAGAAUGGAAUGAAUGAAAUGAGGGGGUGAACCCCUCUAUUUACAGCUAAAAAUUUGGGCACUUUUUAUAUCUAUUAUUACAAUUAUUUAUUUCAAAAUUUAACGUUUGAAACUUGAUAAUCAAACUUUGAAUAUCAAAAGAUAACGGUUCCAAUCUUGACUCUUAGGCUGAUAUUUAGAGCCUUACACAAAGAAAAAUCNNNNNNNNNNNNNNNNNNNNNNNNNNNNNNNNNNNNNNNNNNNNNNNNNNNNNNNNNNNNNNNNNNNNNNNNNNNNNNNNNNNNNNNNNNNNNNNNNNNNGUAAAAUAUAAAAUCAUAUUACACAAAAAAUAUCAAAUUACUAAAGUGAUUAAAAUCAUUCCCAUCAAAUUAAGUCAAUGUCAUCAAAUUAGAAGAUAAUCUUUGAACUAAUUAAGCAAAAGUAAAUCUUCAAAGUUGAACUCAUCCAUAAAUGUCAUAUAGUAUAAACCAUCAAUUAAAUUAUCUUUGUCAAUUUUAAAAUGUUUAUAUUUACUUUAUAUUGGCUGUUAUUUAUAUUAUUUUUAUAAAUGUAUUGUGAUAUUUUUUAUUUACAUCACACUAUUAUAAUUGAAAUUUUAAAUGUAUUUACUAUAAAUUUGAAAUAAAUUAAUUAAAAAUAGAACUAAAGAUAGAAAUAGAAAAAUGUGGAGCCAAAUAAAAUAUUAGGGCAAACACUAAGUUAUAUUUCAUGUAACUUACACCCACACAUAUUAAUUUAUCACAGUCUUGUCUCCACAUAGAAAAAUUAGAUCUAAGAUUAUCAAACUCCCGAAUGAGGAAGAUCCCUCGGGGCCAUCGUCCCUGUGGAAAUUUCUGCAUCCCUGCAGUCUACAACGCCUAAUAAUGAAUUGAACGGUUGAAAUCCCUCUAAAUUUUUGAUAAUUUCUAAUCGCCCCUCCAUAUUUGAUUGAACAUCAAAACUAUUGAGUCCAAAUUUAUAACUUUGAUUUAUCUUCCAUUCCAUAGUUUUCAAGUUCUCUCUCUCUCUCUUUUAAUCCUUUUUACUGCAACCACCAUCAAAGCCUAGUAGUUAAUAUGUAUGCUGCUUUGCUUUCAAAAUCGGACACUACUGGUAUUUAUGGUUUUUAUUCUUUAUUUGACACAAAAUUUGGCGAUAUCUCCGCGGAAAAACACUACUGGUGUAUUCAAUUUUAUCCGGUAAUGAUUAAAUUGAUUAUUACAUGAACCGUAACUUCGCCAAGCCCAAAAUACAUAUUAAGUUAUAAAGCGUGGCACUCAUUAUUUUUCGCAAAAAGUUUCGCCCAAAAUACAUAUAUUUUUUUAAUUUUUUCUGUGAAAAAAACUACUGUUAUAUUCAAUUUUAUCAUUAAAGUUGUUAGUUACAUGAACCUUAAAUUAACACAAACCGUAACUUAGCCAAGCCCAUAAUACAUUAUUUCAUAUUUGUAUGAAAUUUAAAGUUUUUCCACUUUAUAUUUUUCCGCUAAAGUUUCUAAAUUGUAUUNNNNNNNNNNNNNNNNNNNNNNNNNNNNNNNNNNNNNNNNNNNNNNNNNNNNNNNNNNNNNNNNNNNNNNNNNNNNNNNNNNNNNNNNNNNNNNNNNNNNNNNNNNNNNNNNNNNNNNNNNNNNNNNNNNNNNNNNNNNNNNNNNNNNNNNNNNNNNNNNNNNNNNNNNNNNNNNNNNNNNNNNNNNNNNNNNNNNNNNNNNNNNNNNNNNNNNNNNNNNNNNNNNNNNNNNNNNNNNNNNNNNNNNNNNNNNNNNNNNNNNNNNNNNNNNNNNNNNNNNNNNNNNNNNNNNNNNNNNNNNNNNNNNNNNNNNNNNNNNNNNNNNNNNNNNNNNNNNNNNNNNNNNNNNNNNNNNNNNNNNNNNNNNNNNNNNNNNNNNNNNNNNNNNNNNNNNNNNNNNNNNNNNNNNNNNNNNNNNNNNNNNNNNNNNNNNNNNNNNNNNNNNNNNNNNNNNNNNNNNNNNNNNNNNNNNNNNNNNNNNNNNNNNNNNNNNNNNNNNNNNNNNNNNNNNNNNNNNNNNNNNNNNNNNNNNNNNNNNNNNNNNNNNNNNNNNNNNNNNNNNNNNNNNNNNNNNNNNNNNNNNNNNNNNNNNNNNNNNNNNNNNNNNNNNNNNNNNNNNNNNNNNNNNNNNNNNNNNNNNNNNNNNNNNNNNNNNNNNNNNNNNNNNNNNNNNNNNNNNNNNNNNNNNNNNNNNNNNNNNNNNNNNNNNNNNNNNNNNNNNNNNNNNNNNNNNNNNNNNNNNNNNNNNNNNNNNNNNNNNNNNNNNNNNNNNNNNNNNNNNNNNNNNNNNNNNNNNNNNNNNNNNNNNNNNNNNNNNNNNNNNNNNNNNNNNNNNNNNNNNNNNNNNNNNNNNNNNNNNNNNNNNNNNNNNNNNNNNNNGAUACUUCUGAUAUAUUUUAAAAUUUUUAAUGCACCAAAGUUCAUUUUUAGCUUUUAAGGUUUUUAUGUGUGAGCCUCUCAGCACGUUCCCCAACCUCCUCACGUGAAAAUAUUUCUAUGCACGGUUACAAGCUUUUCCAGAUUGUGAGUAUUCCGAAGCAAUCCAACUUGAAAAACAGCUGGUUCGUAGAAAAUGACAGUUUACGAAGCUGGCCCUGCUGCCAUACAUAUGAUGAUGAAGACCAUUUUGCUUUAUGUCAAUUCCUCCAAGUUGAAAUCUUUCUCGGUCUGGGACACUUCCAACACAUAAAGUACUACUAGGCUAGAUGAUUUUAAAAAAUGUCAAGGUCCUUUAUCAAAUUUCAUUUGCAUUCAAGACCAAUCCCCUUUGAUGAAAAUCAAUAAUUAAAGGCUUUCCAAUGAGAAAUUAUUACGUCUUCAAAUCUCAAAAAAUCGCCAGAAUAUUAAUUCGCUACAUAUAAUCAAGAUAUCUCAUUGAGACGCAUUAAUAAAAAAUGUCAAAAUGCAUAGAAAGAGCAGACACACGGAUGAUGAAUUUACUCAUCUUGAUUAGUAUUUGAACUUGAGAGACAGAAUGAAGUACAUGUCAAGAAUAUCAUAGAGAUGGAAACCGGAAGUCCUCCGCACAUAAACUUUGAAGAAACUGGAAAACGACUUUAUUCCAGAUAAUGCACACCAGAGUGACCAAAAUUCUCUUCAGUAACUAUAGAGAAAAUAUUAUUUUGCAUGCAUUUCACGUAACUGGAUCAAACUACUCCCCUGUUGGUUUAUCAGACCACAUUUUUAUGGUGCAAUAUAAACCAUCUUUUCAAAACACUUUUACAAUGUGAGAAAUAUAGGCAUUAAGUUUCAUAAACUAAAAACUCCAAUUGUCCAAAAAAAAAAAAAGGUGAGAAACUCAGUAGAAUUUACAACUUCUCAGACUCACGAAAAGGUGAGAAACAAAUGAUUUUUAUAUAGUUGUUCAUAGCUAACUUUUGAUGGUUUAAUGAUCUGUAGAUUUUGUUUUAUGCUAUUCAAGGAAAGAUAUUCGAUUGUUCCUAAGAGUUCAUAGGCAGGGGCAUAUAUGCAUGAUUUGAUAUAAUUCUCGCAAUUUCUAAGUACUUGCUCUUUCCAUACCUUCUAAGUUUUGAAAGAAAGGUUGAAAUAAACAGAUAAACAGGACAAACAGAAGAAGACUGAAUUAACAGAUCAACAAAGAUGGCAACUAACAAAUGGAAAAGUUCUCUUGUAAUCAAACUAUAGCAAACAGAUGACACCAUUACCAUAUAUCUUAAUGAGUAGAUUGAUUCUAAACAUAUAUGUUAGGAUACAUUUGGUUGUUUAAUAGUUUGAAAUAAGGAGGAUGAGAUGGUUUCCACAUAAAAGUGCUGGCCCUUUCAAUGACAUUUUCAAGGAAUUAUAAAAUUCAAAAUUAAAAAAAAAAACACAUUAUAAAGCCACGACGUCAAAAAAAUAAAUAAAUAAAUAAGUGAAGACCAAACUAAGUCACUAAGACCUUUAAUGAUAUAAAAUCAGCAUAUAAAUCUCAGAACAAAACAUUAAAACUCAUUCUAAAAGUAAAAAUAAACUAGUGGUGUAUUCCAAACAAUUUAGAUGAAGCGAUAAAACAAGCCAAGAAAUCAAAUAAAAUGAAAUGAAAUUGAAUUACCUGGGACUUUGUUUUUCAAAUUCACAACUCGCUUGUAAUUAAAGUAAAACGCCAAUGCCAUUAGGACAUAUACAUCAUUGAAUAAGAUGAGGACCCCUCCAACAGCUGAAAGUAAAAUUUUCAUUCAUUAGUUUCAAUUAAAAGUAAAGCACGCAGAGAUUUGCAGGGAAGCAAGAGAUUUAAUAAAUUUAACAACAGCAAUUUAAUUUGACAGGACUUCCAUACAGUAAUGAAGUUAAAAACUAACGAUUAACGAAAUUUUGUAAUUGAAUGAAUAAGAUUCUCUGAUUUUGGAUAAUUGAAUGAAUAGGAUUCUCUAACUCUUGUGAAAAUAUCAAUUUUAAAUAGGGUAGAGUUUCAAGAAUUAAGCACAUAUGUAUCCCAUCUGCCAGUACGUGAUCAUAAACUUACUUUAUAACAAAUAUCUGAUCUAUUUGGUGCAUUUUAUUUAAAAGAGAAAUUUUAUAAAAUUUUUCCACUGGUGAUAGUGAGUUAUUCGUACCUUCUCAGCAUGUAAAUGCUGUAUGAUUGUGUUAAGAUCAUUAUUAGCCCAAGGCUGUUGAUCGUCUCUCUCUCCAUAGUAGAAGUUUACUCUGAGAGGCGCGUUUAAUUCUCCUUUAGUGAAAAUCUUCAUCUUGGGACAACCAAUUAUAGAUAAAUCUUCCAAAGAUGGGAAUUUGAAGGUGUAAUUGGCAGAGCAGAAACUUGUGAGACUAUCCAAAUCAUACAGAUACAAAAUCUUCAAUUUGGUGAAAACAAUCUCUUCUUCAAAAUUUGCUGCUCCAUCUUCGUCAUUUAUCACCACCUCUCUCAUUGCUCUGCAUCCAUAUACCAACAUUGAUAAGAGUCGCUGUAGAGUUUGGAGUGACAGAUUCGAUAAUGAUCAACUCCAAAUACUGGCCAAGAUCGCAAAUCAAACAACCAAGAUGCAAAAAGAAUCAAUCCAGAACAAAUCACAGAGAAACUUAAGAACCGAAAAGAAUUAAAGAAUUAGCAGCAAAGACAAAAGAAUUAACAGAUUUUGACAAUAAUGUACAUUUAGAAUUUCAAGGCAUUGAACAAAGGAGUCCAAUUUGGAGUCUUGUUUCCACAAUUGCUUCAGAUGAUUAAAUUUGUGCAGAUCUAAAUGUUUUAUCAUUGUAAACUUCCUCACAUGUUUCUUCAAGUAUCCUCCAUUCGAAAAUACCUCUUCGCAUGAACAACGACGCCGUAUGAGAGUUUCCAGAUUAUGAAAUCUCUCAAGUAAAUCAAGUGGAAAACAAGUUGAGUCAUCAUCCACUGUUUGUAGUAGUUUAAGACUGCCAAAAAGGUGUUGUGGGAAAUCGCUCUGCAAAGUCAUCCUCGAGUCUUUUCCACUUAAUGCCAGUUGGGUAAGCUCUGAUCAUCAUCAAUCACGUAAUAACUUAUUAAGUCAAUUCAUAUUCUCUCAAAUAACUUUUAAUAAUCCAAUCAUACACAGUGACUUUAAUAUAAAUCAUAAUAAUUUACAAAAAAGAAGAAAAAAUCGAAUUAGAGGUAAAAGUUAUUCUACGAUUUUAUUUUUUAUAUAUAUCUUGCAUGCUAUUCCCAAAAGCAAUCCCAAACGACCCUUAAAGCAAUUUUACAAAAGCGGCCCGUACAUGUAUUGCCAACUUUGUUAGGAAUGGCAAUGGGAAGGGGAGGGGAAGAGACCGACCUCCCCGUACCCAUUCUCGAUAUUCUGUAUAUAUCCCUGGCCUCUUCCCAUUCACAAAAUUGCUUUAGGGAAUCCCCCUCCCCUCCCUAAAUAAUAAUAGGGGAUCCUUAAAGGUCCUCGAUUCUCGAAUAACUGAUACGUUUUUAGUUUUAAAUUUUAAUUUAAUCAUAUUAAAAUAAAAAAUAAAAAUAAAAAUAAAGUUUGACGAUAUAUCUUACAUUAACAUUAAUCUAUUACAAAAGUCACAUUACAAAGUAUAAAUCACCAUAAUAAUUAUCUUCGGCAAUCUUCAAAAUCAUAUAAUAAAAAAAAAGAAAUUACUUUUAUAUCAACAAUGAGAUAAAUGAAAUGAAUAUAGAUACUUAAUCAAUAUUUCUAAUAAAAGUAUUUACCUCUUGUGUCUCCUACUCUUCUUGUUCUUCCUCAAGGAAUGUGACAAAUUGAGAGAUAGCCUCAGAUUUCAAAUUUAAAACAACAAAAAUAAUAUAAGUAAUGUAAAUUCUAAGUGAAAAUAUUAAUAAUUAUAUAAUAUAAUUACAAUGUAAAAUAAACUCAUACUGCCAUUGUAAGCUUGUAGUCAACUUUGACAACAUAUUAAAGCCUCCAAUGUGCUUGAAUAAAGCGUGUUACGGUACUCUACCACUGGUGCUAAAAGCUAAUUCAGAAGCAACAUUUGUAAUUAGAAUUGCCAAAAUAUCUCUAGCAAUUCAUGCCAGUAUAGGAUAUCUAUAGACAUUUAUUUUACACCAACUCAAAAUAUUAAAAUCUUUCAUCCUAAGCAUAACUUUCUCAUCCAAAUAUUAAUGUAGUCAAUUAGGCCUAAAUUUUAAUAAUAUAAUUAUUUUAUUUUUUUUUAUUUAUACUAAUAUUUAAUAUUUUAUUAUUUAUUUACAAAUAAUUUUAAAAAAUAAAAUUAAAUCAAAAAAUUAGAAGAGAAUAGGGAUUCUGCCGAUCCCCGUUCUUUCUCUGAAUAAGAAAUUAGGUAAAAAAACUAUCUCCGUCUCCUUUUCAAAUAAAAAAUUAAGUAAAAAAUUAUGUACCCACCUGAAUUGGGAAAAUCUCGAGGGUCAUGUCCCCGCGGCAAUAUCUGCCAUUCCUAAACUUGUAACAGCCAGUUGCUUUUGUGACCGUUUAUGUGACGGCUAGACUGCUCUCACUUAUGUUACUAACCACGUGACGGUAGAGAGUGACGGUAGAGAGUGACGGUAGAGUUAUAAAUUUGUUUCUAAAUAGAAAACUAUUUGCUGGAGUCAAUAUUUUGAAGACCAAAGUCCCAAAUUCUCUCUCGUGCCUGGCCAGCAUCCUAAACCUUACUGGUAGCCGGAGAAUGGCGUAAAACGGCAGCGAUCUUCUUCUUCAUCUUAUUCUCUCUCUUCGUUUCAGGUAAGCUUGUGAUUAUGAGUUUCCUCUCUUUCUUAGCUUGUAAUUAUAGGUUUUGAUUUCUUUAAUUCGUAUUGUAACCAUUAAUGUCAAUUUUUGUCCCGCCGGCAAUAUUUCUUGUUCCUAGAAGUUGAAGCCCUUCUGUUCUUGUUCCAUUGGUGACUUUGCUCACUCAAAUUAAUUUUGUUCUGCGGAAUUUACAAAGUUCAAAUGGAUUCAUUUGGAUUACUAUUGAAUUUAGCUUUAAUUCCAACAUCCAUUCUAAUGUUUUGGCAUUAGAUUUAGUUUAAUUUUAUGUUUAAAGCUUCUACAAUGAAUAGCGGAGCUUGGGUUUUAGUUUCAUUUUCUAAUUAACUUGUUUUAGUUUAUCUUAUAUGCUCGCCAAGUGCUUGUUAUAUUGUCUGAUAAGUUAUAUAACAUUGCUGAUUCUAUAUUAGUAAUGUCAUGUUCCAUUUACGGAAAUUAUAACACAAAAGUUUUUACAAUGGCUUGCAUCUACAAACUGAAUUGACUUGUAGAGUAAGAGCUUGGAUUAGUGUUAUGUUCUUGAAUAAAUGAAAGUUCAUAUUGUGUAAGAGCAUGUAGAUGUAAAGCAUCACUACCAUUUCUACAAACUGCUUUCAUUCUGUUCAGAUGCUCCUCUUGAACUUUGAAAGGUGCCUCAUUCAAGUCCUAGCUAUAACUAAUAGCUCUGAUUGCUUAAGUUCCUGUGCUAGCUGAAACAGAUUUAUUUAAUUAAUUAAUUGUGUAUGUACUAAUUAUAUUGAAAGUAUAUGAAGAAAUUGUUUAACAUGAAUGACUUCUAAAUGACUUAAAAGCCUAAAGGAUAUGUCAAAUAAUGCUCAUUUCACUUGAACGAGCCUAAUACUUUUAUGUCUAUGAUUGUCAAUCUUGCUUAAGUGUUUCAGUUAAGUGGUUUACCUAACAGGGAAAAAAAUUUAAUGGAAAACUUUAGAGUUCUAACAGAAAUAUAGUUGACUGCAGAUAUAGUUAUUUUACAGUACAUAAAUCAUAUUGUCCUAUUCUCAAUGUCCUGCGACCUAUUUUAUUUUAUAUGGUCAUUCAUUUUUGCGAUGGUUUUUUGUGCUUAUGAGUAUGGAAAUAGUGGGAUUUGGUGUGGCAAACAAAAAUAUACAUAUAAUCAAGUUUCUUAAUCAUGUAUAUUGGUUUUGGGUAUGAAUGUUUUCCUAUUCUAGUUCUAGGCAAAGUUUCUUCAUUUUGGUCUUCAGAUUUCCAGUAGGUUAAGUUAAGCAACUAUCAUAACUAGCUAGCUAGUUAUUGCCUGCCUUGUCGCCAUUACCGACGCCAUUGCAUUGCAUGGCAUAAGGAAUAGUAACUAGGUGAUUAUUGGUGAUUCCUUGAGUUUAUUAUUGGCCAAACAAACAUAUUCUCCUUUACCCACAACUUAGUUUGAUUAGUUAUUAGAUAAUAAAGAGCCUUAAUCUAUGCAUUGCUUUAUUAUUUUUAUUUGGUUUUUCUUUCAACAAUAUUGUUGAUUUCUUAUAAAAAAUAUUCAUUGGUUUUUAAACACCUAAUCAUUGGCUAUAAUGAAGCUAAUUAAAACUGAGGCUUUGGAUCAAUUUCUGUUAACAACACACAAAUGAGCAUAACCACCCCCUCCCCCCCCCCCCCCCACCACCACCACCAAAAAAAAAAAAACAAAUAGUAAGACUUUGCAAGAUUCACAACCAGGUUACAUUUAAUUUAUUAAUUGUGUGUACGUACUAGUUAUUUGUUGAUAGAAUAGGAAGAAGUAUUUUAAUAUGAAUGACUUAAAACUUAUUGCUCAGUAAACAUAAUGUGCAUCAGUGCUAGAAAAUGUAUUUGUUGUUUGUAAUUUUUUAUGGUUUUGCUUAAGAAAUGAAAUGUGAAAAAAUGCUACAUUUUAUUAGGAAUAAAUUGAAGAGAUUUAUGAUUUUUAUGUGUUAUUCAAGUUUCAGAUUCAAUUUUAAACUUUUGAUACAUGCAUUGAAAGCUUAAACUCCUUUAAGAAAUUAUUAAUAGACACAUGUUUUAUUAGUGUCAUCUUUUGGAUGAUAGUGAGGAUCUUAUGUCUAUUAAUAAUUCUUGAAUUAUCUAGGCUUGGACAGUUUGGUAAUGCAUAGAUUUCUAUGGUAGCUAGUGCCUGAAAUUUUUUUCCCACGUAAAAAUGGGUUUUUCAGCAGCUGCUCCUCAUGUUCUCUGGGUGCAUACUAGACAAAUGGGUGUCAUGUGUUGUUUUGGCAUAACACAUAAACAUUCAUAUAUCUAUGUCGUGUACUUGAAGAACUAUAGGGAGAUGCUUCCGAAGUUUCUAUAAACGUAGAGGAAAACUUUAGAUACUUAAGAUUGAAGAAACUUAUGCAUUCUUGAGUGGGAUAUAUAGGACCACUUACCUUUUGUAAAUAUGAAGGGAAUGUUGGAUAUAUUGAUGGGAGUGGAGGAGCUGAGUGGGAUGAAUGUAAUCGGUUAUGAUUUUGCUGAGUCGACUUGGUUUUGAGUCUUGUAAUUUUGUUUAUAAAUGGAGUACUAUCUCCAAUGUUGGUUUAUAAAUAUGUUUCAGCUGGCUGACCUAAUUUUUUGUUUCUAGGUAACAGGCUUUAUAUAUCUGUAAUUGAUAGCCAAGUGAAGUUCUCAGCAGUGGGUGAGGAUAUUUCUUUACAGAAGGUAUUGCAAACUGUUUUUUAGAUUAAUUAUUAUUGUAUCUACUUUAAUUUUCACAUCUUUUUCUCUAAUUCUUGUGGCUUUGCUUGCUUCCAUAUAUAUAAAACCAUAAAAUUGUAUAAUAAUUUUUUUUAUUAUAUUGCGAAACUGCGCACACAUGAAAAUAUCUUGUUUAGUAGUAGAAAUGAAGAAUUAAAGUGAUUUAUUUAACUAAUUUUUCUAGUGCAUUAAAAGGACAUAGUCAUGGACCAGAGUUGGGUUGGUUUGCCAAAUAGAUAUCCAAUUCAUAUAAAAUUUAUAGAUUUUGCAUUUGAGAAUGUUGUUGGUGAUAAAAGAAUUUAUUGUCCUUCUAAGAAGUGUCGUAAUAUCGAUAUUUCCUUAUAAGGAAAGUGGCAAGAGACCAUAUCAUUAUAAAUGGCUAUUGGUUAAAGUAUUAAAACUGGAUAUUGGAGGGUGAGCCAUCUUCAUCUUUGAAAUCUAACUAAGAAACAGGUUAGUCAUGACUCGGGUAGUGAUGCUAGUAUGGUUGGAAUGAUGCAUAAUGCAUCACAUAAUCAAAUGUUCAAGUCACACGCAGCAUUGUUAUGGACUAUCUCCGACUUUCUAGCAUAUGCCAACUUGUUUGGGUGGAGUAUUAAAGGUAAAUAAGCAUUUCUUGUUUGCCAACAAAACACUAGAUCUAAUUGGUUGAUACAUAGUAGAAAAUUGUCACGUGGGUCACCGUCGAUUUUUACCAACAAAUCAUAGGUUCCGAAAAUAUAGUGCCAUCUGAUAAAACUAGAGAGUGGGGACAAGCACCUUCUCGGUUGUCUGGAGCCGAGGUGAAAAAAUGUACUUACUGAGUAUAAGAUUGAAGACUUGAAAAGAGGAGAAAAGAGGAGAAUGAAUAAAAUGAAAGAAAUGAUAAGAUUACUUGGAAGAAGAAAAGCAUUUUUUAUGAACUAACGUAUUGGGAGUUCAAUUUGAUUCAUCAUAAUCUUGAUGUCAUGCGCCGUUUUGAUUUUUGUUAUGAACUCAGAUCAAAAGUUUAAUGUGAUCAAAAUUUCUUAAAAAUCGUGAAAACGACUCUUACACUGUCAACGCUGUCAAUGUAGUGAUACAAUGAAGAUGAAGUAAAGCAUUAGUAGAAUAAUGAAGUUGACCAGUAACACAGUAAAGCAAAUUUUAUUCCAGAGCAUGAAAACUUUUAAACAGUAACACAGCUCUUAUUCACACGAGUGACCUGAAUCUUCUUCAGAACUUUCAAAAUCCUUGCCUUCCUAAGUUAGGAAAGAUAGACGUGGAGCAAACCAAGUGAAAUAAAUGAGUAAACAGAACAAGCAGGGCAAAAAUUAAAAAUGAUGGCAAUUAACAAAUUAAUAGCAAUGUUACAUUUGACUCUUUAGCCCUUUGCUCCUUCUCUUAGCAUUCUUCAAAGCUUUUGAAAAUUGGAUGUGAAGCAAACAAAAUAAAAUAAAUUUAGACAACACAUACCCUGUAUUCAGCAUCAUAUAUAUGUCGAAUAUCUAAUAUGAUAAGAGUAUACGCAAGUCCAAGUGAGAAGCAAAACCCAACAACAAAUAUGACGAAUAUGCAUGGGCACAUGCAAGCAACCAUGCAAGCCAAUAACGAAAAUGUAUGGGCACAUGCAAGUAACAUGCAAGCCAUGCAUGAGGUGGGCAUCACGUUCCUUCAAGGACUCUUCACAAAAUCAACGGAAAGCUUACUACGUCAAGUCGUAUUGAUGAAGAAUUCAGAUUUAAUCAUGAUUCCUUUAAGAUUAUUAUUUACUUCGAAAUUAUAGCUAAGUGGUUUAAUUGAUUUUAACUACUUUAUUUCAUUAAUUUUGUUCUAUAAAUAGACUCGAAUAAUUCAAUAAAAAGAUAUCAGACUUUUAUCUAAUUCAAUUAGCAAUUGCGGUAGUUCUCACCCUAAGAAGAACAAAUUAUUUACUUGUUGUUUCCGCUAAUUCUGACUGGGACCUAUCAUAAUAUAAUAAAUUUCACAUCCAAAAUACUAGAAUUUCAAACAGUACUAGUAGUAAAAAAAUGACGACAACAACAAAAAUAGAAAAUUACAAGACUGCUGAUAAAAUUUCAUUUGCGUGCAUGUCUGACAAAAUUUCCGUGGUUUAAUGUGCGUUCAUGCAAGCAAGUCCUAACGUUUCUGUGAUCACAAAAUGAAACUGAAGAUAAAACAGAACAACUACCAAACCUUUCAGGCUCUGAUACCAAGUUAAAGUUUCUAAUCUGUUUGAUAAGUAAGAAAAUGAGAGAAAAUGAAAGAAAGAACAGAGAUCAUCUAAGAGCUGGAUUUGAUGAAUAAAUCUGAAUCAUCCAUUCUUUAGCUGAUUACAAAUGUAUUUAUACAAGGUUUCUAAGCACCUGAGAGUUGAAUAACUUAUGCCAGCUNNNNNNNNNNNNNNNNNNNNNNNNNNNNNNNNNNNNNNNNNNNNNNNNNNNNNNNNNNNNNNNNNNNNNNNNNAAAAAAAAGAAUAUAUAAGUUUGUGUAUUUUUUUGAAUCAUAAUCAAAUGGGUAAAUGUUGCAACUAUUUUUUUAGACAUUUUCACUUUGGGAUGUCAGCCCGAGGAAGUUCGGGGGUCUGAGUUAUUCAACUGAAAAUGUCGGCCAAGUUCUUGUGUUAGUUUUAGUAUAUUGUGUAAAAAUGAUACACUAACUUGAAUUUAUAUGCUUUUAUGACUAUUUGAUAAUCAAAUGGGUAAAUGACACGAAGAACUUUGAGUUUAAAGAUCUGGCCCUGAUGCCUAGUAGCCCUCCAACCCAUGAAGCACUAGAUGUUUUAAUGAGAAAACGACAAGACCAUUUAUCAAAUUUCUUGUGGAUAUAAAUACAUACACAUAGACGAGACCAACCUCCUCAAAUGAGAAUCAGAGUGAUUACAAGACCUUGCAAUGAGACAAUAAUACACCAUCAAAUCUCAAAAUACAAUAGAAAUUCAUGACAUAUAUAUAAUAAAAGACCUCUCAUUGAGUCAUAUAUAUUGAGAAUAAAAUUUUUUUAAUACAUACAAAGAGCUUAUCUAGAAUGAAAUGUAAACUUUUUUAAUACAUACAAUGAUCAAACAAAGGAAACAGACAGGUUGCAACUCACACUAUCACAGAUGUAGCGACACGAUGCAGUGAAUCACAAGAAGAUCACGAAGAUGGAAACGGGAACCCCUCAGAAUGUAAACUUUGAAUAGAGGAAAAAAGAAAAACGACCUUAUUUCAAAUUGCGCACAGAAGAAGAGUGACUUAAAUCGUCAUCAGUAUCCAAACAUUCUGCAAUCAUAGAGUAGAGAAAUUUUAACAGGAACAGUGGAGAAAAUAUUAUGAAUAUGCUAGACCAAAUUAGUCCCUUUUUGGUUUGUGAAAACUUGAUUUUUUAUGAAAUAUUUUCAAACAAUAUUUCCACAAUAUACUUGUUCAUAGCUAACAUUUGAUGGUUUAAGCAUUUGUUAUAGGAACAAUGCACUGAUUACGUUUUUUUUUAAAAAUUUUUUUAGUCCGAUGAAUGAUAUUCAGCUGUUCUUUAAUUAUGUGUUCAUAGGGAAGAACAUUUUCUAAGUACUUUCCUUGCCUUCUAACUUUCCAAGGAAAUAUAGGUGUGAAGAAAAGCAAACCCAAUGAACAAACAGAACACAAACUAAAAUAAAAGAACAGCAAUGAUGAGAAUAAAUAAUUGGCAAAGAAAGAAUGGAAAAAGUAUGCAUGUUUUCAACGAAUUAUAAAAUACGAAGGCUUUUAAUGAAAUUUUAUCAUAAAAACGUAUGCAAGGAGUUAUAAAAUUUUAGAAGACGAGGGGAGCUCCCAAAAAAAAAAAAAAGAAGAAGAAAAAGACUCAAAUUAAACUAGACUAAAAAGACAUUCAAUUAUGCAAAAUCUGUCCAUAAAAGUCUGAAGGGAUCAUUAAAAUUGCAUUGCAAAUCUAUAUCUAUCUAUCUAUAUAUCUAUAUAUCUAUAUAAAGCUAGGACUUGAGGAGGUGAUGUGGCAUCACCAUUUUGCUUCUUUGUAUAUUCUCUAUUAUCUAAUAAAUAGAGAAUUUUUUUUAGAUUUAGCUUUUCAUCUUCUCAUAAUUAAUUUGAUUGUAUUUAACUCAUUUAAUAAAUAGUAACUUUAUUAAUAUAUAUCAUUCCUCAUCUUUUUAUAUUUUCUAUUAUCUAAAAUAUCUAAAAUAUUGGUGAAUAUUCUUUGUACUUUUUUUCUCUUUCUAUUUAAAUUCAACAAUAUGUAAUCAUUAAUAAUAAUUAAUUAUAAGUCCAAUUUUAAUGUCAACAAUGCCAUUAGAGCCCAAUUUUAAUGUCAUGAUCCCAUAUUUAAUUAUUCAAUAUUUUGUUUAGUGCCUUUUGGCUUCUUCAAACUCUAUAAACAUUAAAUAUUUAAGAUUUGUGGCAUCAUUAUUUCUUCCUCUUUCUAUUUAAAUCCAACAAUAUGUAACCAUUAAUAACAAUUAAUUAUAAGUCUUUUGAAAUAUUCAUUUAUUUUAUUAUGCUAGCAAUUAAACUUUAGUUGCUUAAAAUACAUCAAUUAAUUAACAUAGGAAGAGGGGUUCUUUCAUCUUCCCUCAAUAAUGCAGCUAGGGCCUAAGUUUAAUUUUCAUGUCUCUUCCUCUUUCUAUUGAAAUCCAACAAUAUAUAAUCAUGAAUAAUAAUUAAUAAUAAAUCUUUUGAAACAUUCAUUUAUUUUAUUAUGCUAGCAAUUAAACUUUAGUAGCUUAAAAUACAUCAAUUAAUUAACAUAUGAAGAGAGGCUCUUUCAUCUUCCUUCAACAAUGUCAUAAGGGCCUAAUUUUAAUGCCAUAAUCUCAUAUUUAAUUAUGCAACCUUUUAUUUAGUGUCUUUUGGCUUCUUCAAAUUUUAUUAUACUAGCAAUUAAACUUUAGCGGCUUAAAAUACAUUAAUUAAUUAACAUAGGAAGAGAGGUUCUUUCAUCUUCCCUCAACAAUGCCACUAAGGCAUAAUUCUUCUUAUUCUAAAUUUAAGUUGCUUGUCAUCAUCAGCAACACAAGUCGAUUAUGAUGCAACUACCAUUAUAAUUAAUGGAGAACGACGAGUUAUCUUCUCUGGUGCAAUUCAUUAUAUUUUCGCAGUAGUCCACAAGUACUGUAUGCAAAUAAUUAAUUUACAAUUUCUCAAAUCACUUGCACUUUCACAUUUUCUUCUUCUUUUAACCAAAAAAAAAAAAGCUACUUUGUUGCAAAAAUAUUAUCUUAAUUUUUUUUCCUAACAAGCCAAACAUGAUCCCACAUUCAAAACGGUGCGCUUUCAUGUUUAGGAAAAAUUAUGGGCAAUAUUUUUGGAUCCAACAGCAUUAUUAUUCUUAAAAUAUGUAAAAUUUGAUAUGAUUUAUUUCUAUAUGCGUUAUAUUUGUGCAGAUGUGGCCAGAUCUUAUACAGAAGGCAAAGGAUGGAGGGCUCGAUGCAAUUGAAACUUAUAUUUUGUGGAAUGCUCAUGAGCCUCAACGUCGUCAGGUGCCAAUUAUUAUUAUUAUUAUUUUUUUUAUUAUUAUUAUUAUUAUUAUGUGCGAUCGUUAUUAUUAUUGAAAUAAACAUACAAAAUUAACUUGUUUAAUCUUCCUUUUGAGAAGAGAUCAGAAGGUUAUCUUAAGAAAUUUGAAUUUCAUCAAAUUUUUUAUUUUUAAUUUGAUAUUUUUAAAGCCGCGCGAAGCGCGGUUCUAUUUCCUAAUUUAACAGUAAACCGAGGGACCUAUUCUAAAUAAUUAAGAUGAAAUUGCGAAACAAGCCAUGGGAUUAAAUAAAUUAAAUAAAAAUUAAUUACCAGCUGAGACUUUCUUCUAAAAAUUCGCAACUCCAAGUCAUAAGAAGCCUAUGAAAUUAGUCGUACUGCGUAGAGUAUAUCGACGACCCCGCCAACAGCUGAAAAUAAAAUUCUUAUUCAUCAAUUUAAACUUUUACUUUAUAACAAACAUUUUAUCUAUAUUUUAUUUAAAAAGAAAAAGCAAAUUUUGUAAAAAUUUAUCAUGGGAGAUAGAGAGUAAUAUGUAUAUCCGUACCUUCUCAGCAUGUAAUUGUUGUAUGGUUGUGUUUAGAUCAUUAUUAGCCCAACGCCGUUGAUUCGAUGUCUCUCCAUACUGGACGUCUACUCUCGGAGGCGUGAUUGAUUCUCCUGUAGUGAAAAUCUUCAUCUUGGGACAACCAAUCACUUCCAGAUAUUCCAAAGAUGGGAAUCUGAAGGUGUAAUUGGCAGAGCAGAAACUUGUGAGACUUUCUAAAUCACACAGAAUCAACGCCUUCAAUUUGCUGAAAACAAUCUCUUCUUUUUCAACUCCUUCUUUGUCAUUUAUUACCACCUCUGUCAUUGCUCUGCAUCCUUGUAUACGCACCGUGACGAGUUGCACUAGAGUUUUUGCUGUGCAGGAUGUUACCAAGUGUAUCAAUCCCUUGCAACCGAAAGCUACAAGUUUUGUUAGGUUCCCAAAAGAUACCGAUGAUGAUGGCAAUAGAAUUAACAGACUUUGACAAUGAUAUACUCUUAGAAUUUCAAGAUACUGAAAAAUGGGGCCAAGUUUGGAGUCUUGUUUGCACAGCUGCUUCAGAUGAUAGUGCCGGUACAGCUCUAAUUCUUUUAUCAUUGCCAACUUCCCCACAUGUUUCUCUAAGCAUCCUUCCAUCGAAAAUAGCUCUUCGUGGGAUGAAAAAUCACACAGUGUGAGUAUUUCGAGAUUGUGAAAUCUCUCCAGUACGUUCCAGAUUGGAAAACAAGCUGAGUCAUCUGCAGCAAUCUCUAGUUCUCUAAGACUGCCAAAAAGGUGUUGUGGGAAAUCGGCCUGCAAAAUCAUCUCCACGUCUUUUCCACUUAGUGAUAGUUCCGUCAAGUUGGGUAAGAUCUGAUCAUCGUCAAUCAUAAUAACUGAUAAGGUCAAUUGAUGAUCUCUCAAAUGAUUUUGAGUAAUCCAAUGACACGCAGUGACUUUAUAGUAUUUGUUUU